AGACUUACCUGUCACCGAGUUGAGGGUGAUCAAGAAUGCUCUGACCCCAGGUGGAGGCUCACAAUUGUUCCUCGAUGGGUUGAAACACGUGACGGACUCUGAUCGGGCGUGCUCGGUUGUGUGGUUUUGUCAGUGGGGAGGCGUUACGGUUCUCG
rnacentral:snRNA from 15 species